CUCCCAGAGUUCUUUGCACUGAGCCAUGAUGGUACAUAUAAUUUUACAUUUUCAGAAAAAUAGCCAGGUUCAUGACACGCCCCUUUUUGGGAAGAUGACAUCAGAACUUGAACAGUUCUGCUUCAUCGCCAACAGCAACCAGGGAUAAGAAAAAACACCAAACUAGCAUUAUUAUCUUUCCGGCGUCAGCCUCCUGGAUUGACAAAGUGCCCCUCUCCACCCCACCUCUUUGUUGUUGUUGUUAUAUGCCUCCAAGUUGACUACGACUUAUGGUGACCCUAUGAAUCAGCAACCUCCAAGAGCAUCUGUCAUGAACCACACUGUUCAGAUCUUGUAAAUUCAGGGUCCAGGGCAGGGAACACAGGCAGCUCCUCCCCAAUCUCCGAGCGGUGAGAUUUCCAAGGUCCCUGCGCUCAUCCAAGGUUUGGUUUCCUUUGGGAAGACGGUUAGCGGAGACUGCGGUGUCUUUAUGAAAUAUGGUUUAUUUACACACGGCACCCCAAAAAGCCAUGGUGCGGAGUGUGAUGCGUCCUUCCCUGGCUCUCCCUGU